rnacentral:rRNA from 1 species
GAGUGAACGCUGGCGGUAGGCCUAACACAUGCAAGUCGAACGGCAGCCCAGUAAGAGCUUGCUCUUACGGGUGGCGAGUGGCGGACGGGUGAGGAAUACAUCGGAAUCUACUUUUUCGUGGGGGAUAACGUAGGGAAACUUACGCUAAUACCGCAUACGACCUACGGGUGAAAGCAGGGGAUCUUCGGACCUUGCGCGAUUGAAUGAGCCGAUGUCGGAUUAGCUAGUUGGCGGGGUAAAGGCCCACCAAGGCGACGAUCCGUAGCUGGUCUGAGAGGAUGAUCAGCCACACUGGAACUGAGACACGGUCCAGACUCCUACGGGAGGCAGCAGUGGGGAAUAUUGGACAAUGGGCGCAAGCCUGAUCCAGCCAUACCGCGUGGGUGAAGAAGGCCUUCGGGUUGUAAAGCCCUUUUGUUGGGAAAGAAAAGCAGCAGGUUAAUACCCCGCCGUUCUGACGGUACCCAAAGAAGAAGCACCGGCUAACUUCGU